UACGUAGGGUGCGAGCGUUAAUCGGAAUUACUGGGCGUAGAGCGUGCGCAGGCGGUUUUGUAAGCCAGAUGUGAAAGCCCCGGGCUUAACCUGGGAAUGGCAUUUGGGACUGCAAGGCUUGAGUGCGGCAGAGGAGACUGGAAUUCCUGGUGUAGCAGUGAAAUGCGUAGAUAUCAGGAGGAAUACCGAUGGCGAAGGCAGGUCUCUGGGCUGACACUGACGCUCAUGCACGAAAGCGUGGGGAGCAAACAGG
rnacentral:rRNA from 1 species